rnacentral:rRNA from 1 species
AGUGAACGCUGGCGGUAGGCCUAACACAUGCAAGUCGAACGGCAGCACAGUAAGAGCUUGCUCUUACGGGUGGCGAGUGGCGGACGGGUGAGGAAUACAUCGGAAUCUACUUUUUCGUGGGGGAUAACGUAGGGAAACUUACGCUAAUACCGCAUACGACCUACGGGUGAAAGCAGGGGAUCUUCGGACCUUGCGCGAUUGAAUGAGCCGAUGUCGGAUUAGCUAGUUGGCGGGGUAAAGGCCCACCAAGGCGACGAUCCGUAGCUGGUCUGAGAGGAUGAUCCGCCACACUGGAAGUGAGACACGGUCCAGACUCCUACGGGAGGCAGCAGUGGGGAAUAUUGGACAAUGGGCGCAAGCCUGAUCCAGCCAUACCGCGUGGGUGAAGAAGGCCUUCGGGUUGUAAAGCCCUUUUGUUGGGAAAGAAAAGCAGCAGGUUAAUACCCCGCUGUUCUGACGGUACCCAAAGAAUAAGCACCGGCGAACUUCGU